UUAUUUCAUUAGAGCAUUGCAGUUUUCCACAUAUAGACCUUCCAUGUACUCUGCUAAAAUUUUAUCUUAGCAUUUCAUUUUUUGUAGCUAUAGUUUUUUUUUUUUUUUGUAGGUGUUCUUUAUCAAGUUAAGCAAAGUUUCCACUACUCCUACUUUGCUAAGAAGUUGGUUUUUUUUUAAUCAUUAUUAGGUAUUUUUUUUCUUCUUCCUUAACCUGGUGAUACAGUGGGUUAUGUUGAUUGAUUUCCAAGUGCUAUUCAAGCCUUACAUACCUGGAGUAAAUCCCAAAUGGCCAUUGGAAAUAUUUCUUUUUAUCCAUUGUUGUACUUGGUUUUCUAAUAUUUUGUUGAGGAUAU
rnacentral:lncRNA from 10 species